GGAGUUUACUCCUUUAUGUUAUUUAACACAAAACUUGCAAUUUGAUAAUUUGAAUUCUAAUGACAGUUCUAAUACAACGGCUCUUUUUACCACAAAUAUGUUCUCUCUUCUCUUCUCUUCUCUUCCACCAGAAAUUAAUACUAAGUCUUUUCUCUUCUCUUCUUCGUUACCAUUCUGUAGCACUGAAAUUAAGAUGAAGAUGGGUUUUGAUUUCUCCGACAAAAUUUUGUAGCUCCGGCAGAAAAGCAAUUGCCGUCUUUCCUCCCUUUUCCCUACCUCUAAUUUGAAGCUGCUAAGUCUCAGGGAUUUGAACCAUCGAAAAAGACAGAAUUCUUCAUCGAGAAAUAGGGGUAUUGGAGAGCAUUUCAAGUUUAAGAAUUUUUUAGAGGAAAAUGCCCUCUUCUUUUGAUGUUUCCGAGCCGUUGGCUCAUCGAAGUUCGCUGGAGCUGAUCUUCUGGUGGUGAGAAGUCUUCGAGCUCGUUAUUUGGGUUUGCUGCACAAAAAGAGGUAAAUCCCUUCUUUCUUCAGUAUCUCGAUAUACUUGUUAUGCUUCUAAGUUUAAAAAUGUCUUCUCAUGUGGACUUUUGGUUGAAACUUGAAGGUUUGAACCUCUUUGAUCCCACUGUUGGUUGCUGCUCGAUUGGAAUGUUUGAAUGUCGUACUGAUCUCCUCCCUCACUCAGAAUGAUUUAGUUUCAGCCUCUCUUUGUUCCUUUCCCUAAAUGUCUCAAGUGUCAUCUUGUUUUCUUUAGUUGAGAGUUAUGCGUGGAAUGAUAAAUGAUUAAGAGGGUGCUUGUGGUUAUAAGUUUUAAGCUUUAAAUGUGUUGUGUUGUUUCUUUUAUUGUUAGCUUUAUAAUCAAUUUUUUUAAUGUAUUUGAGAUGUAUCCAGUUUAAAUUUUGUUUCAUUAUAGUCUCCGUUUUCCACUGAGAUUUGGUUCAAAUUAGUCAGUGAUCCCUCAUUAGGACAUUUUUUAAUGUGUUUGGAAGAUGACAUACUGCUUUCAUUUUUAAUAAGAAGACCACCAUAUGCUCUUUUUCUUAUUACUAUUAUGUUGUUUUAAAAUGUUUGUUUUUGGGUGCUGAAUUUGCUCAAUUUUGCAUCUUUAGGAAUUUCAUCAGCCUUGAUUUAGAUUUGAGUUAUGAGAAAGCAUUCCUGUCUAGCUAACGUAUUAGCAUACAUUUGCAUUCAAAAUAUGCCAUAUUUAGCACUCUUAUUUUUAUGUGGUUAGUGUUUGGGCAUUGCUGUAUUUUAUUUUAUUUUUGCUCCAAUGGUGUUUACAUUCAUAUAUACAUCUGCAGAUGCUUCAUAUGUUGAAAUGGCCCCAUAAAAGCUUGUAAGAACUUAUGAUGUCUAUUUAACAUUAGCAAUCUGUUAAGAAUUCCCAUGUGUAUAUUUCAAAGAUAGCCUUCAUCAUCAUCUAGCAACUUUAUUUAUGGUCCCUCUUUUUUGCACAAGUCUUGCAGGUUACUAAUUUUCUAAGUUUGUCUGCUUUUUUCCCCCUUUAACGGAUUUAUGUAUACUUGAAUGCUGCCUUUUGCAUGUAACAUCGUAUACAAGCUAUGUUAGGCCAAUAUUGAUUAGUGGAUAAUAUUCACUGAUAAUCUAUUGCAUAUAGAAGAAAAUAUCGCUAAUCCUUUCCUUUGUUACAUUCUUUGAUCGAGCCAACCUUGUCAAGACCAAAGCUAACAUACAGGUGGAAGGAGUUGCUAUACGACCUAUAUACACUGUUAUACAGUGUUACUCUCUCUCUCUCUUGAUAGUUGGAUUGUAUUUAGUUAUUUUUGUUUUGAUUAAUUCUAACUUUGAAUACCUAGAUUAACUUAAUUUAAUGAAAAACAUGAGGCUCUUAAUAGUUUAUUAAAUUUUUUGGUA